rnacentral:rRNA from 1 species
CCUACGGGAGGCAGCAGUGGGGAAUAUUGCACAAUGGAGGAAACCCUGAUGCAGCGACGUCGCGUGAGUGAAGAAGUAAUUCUUUAUGUUAAGCUCUAUCAGCAGGGAAGAAACUGACGGUACCUGAGUAAGAAGCUACGGCUAACUACGUGCCAGCGGCCGCGGUAAUACGUAGGUGGCAAGCGUUAUCCGGAUUUACUGGGUGUAAGGGGAGCGUAGACGGCAGUGUAAGUCUGGAGUGAAAGGCGGGGGCUCAACACCCGGACUGCUCUGGAAACUGUACGGCUUGAGUGCAGGAGAGGUAAGUGGAAUGCCUGGUGUAGCGGUGAAAUGCGUAGAUAUUAGGAGGAACACCAGUGGCGAAGGCGGCUGACUGGACUGUAACUGACGUUGAGGCUCGAAAGCGUGGGGAGCAAACAGGAUUAGAUACCCGGGUAGUC